AUUGAACGCUGGCGGACUGCUUUACACAUGCAAGUCGAACGGCAGCACGGGGCAACCUGGUGGCGAGUGGCGAACGGGUGAGUAAUACAUCGGAACGUGCCCAAUCGUGGGGGAUAACGUAGCGAAAGUUACGCUAAUACCGCAUACGAUCUACGGAUGAAAGCGGGGGAUCGCAAGACCUCGCGCGAAUGGAGCGGCCGAUGUCAGAUUAGGUAGUUGGUGGGGUAAAGGCUCACCAAGCCAACGAUCUGUAGCUGGUCUGAGAGGACGACCAGCCACACUGGAACUGAGACACGGUCCAGACUCCUACGGGAGGCAGCAGUGGGGAAUUUUGGACAAUGGGCGCAAGCCUGAUCCAGCCAUUCCGCGUGCAGGAUGAAGGCCUUCGGGUU
rnacentral:rRNA from 1 species